UCUGAAGGGUUAAUAGUUUGAUUUAUCCCACUGUAAACCUGGAUAUAGUGCACUAACCAGAGCCCUAAUGGGCCUUGGUCCAAAGUAGGGCAUUGAUAAAAAGUACAUUAGUGCACUAUAUAGAGAAUAGGGUGCCAUUUUGGACGCAUCACAGGGUGACUAUUGAAGUGAACCGCGAUCUCUCUGCUGAAGCCUCCACAGUCAGUAAGAAUGGCAUUUAUACUGUAAGUCCAACUCCAGAUCUCUCUGCUGAAGCCUCCACAGUCAGUAAGAAUGGCAUUCAUACUGUAAGUCCACCUCCAGAUCUCUCUUAUCUACUCCCAUACUUACCAUGGACAAGCUCUGUCAAAGACCAGGAGAUGAAUGAACAUCUGUCAGGGAUUUUUGCAGUUGAUUUGUUUUCCUGGCUAACCAAGUCCUUCAAAAAUCCAGGUAUCACUGCAGUAUUAGGGGGAAUACCAGGGGCUGGGGAGGGGCUCUGGUCUGUCCCAAAACCCAGGUAUCACUGCAGUAUUAGGGGGAAUACCAGGGGCUGGGGGGGGGGGCUCUUGUCUNNCCAAAAGCCUAGGUAUCACUGCAGUAUUAGGAGGAAUACCAGGGGUUGGGGAGGGGCUCUUGUCUCUCCAAAAGCUUAUCCAAAGCUGACAACUAAAGAGUACUAGUGUACCCUCUUAGAGAAAAUGGUUUCAAAAGGGGUUCUUCCGCUGCCCCCAUAGGAUAACCUUUUAGGGUUCCAUGUAGAACCCUCUGCGGAAAGGGGUUCUUCAAAGGGUUCUCCUACGGGGACAGCCAAAGAACCAUUAUCCAGCACCUUUUUUCAAAGAGUGUACCCUCAGUAGAGACAUGGAAGAACUGUCGUCUACGUGGCCCCUCCCUGCCAUUACAAAUGAUGCAGAUGUGAAAACCUAGUUGAGUGAGUGAUUCAGCUCUAUCCCUACAGCGUGUAAUGGCCCCAGAGGUGCAGGCAUCACUCUGAUGCCAUGGCUGUGGUGGUGAACUGUGGAUUGCAGAGGAGCGGACAGGGNNNNNNNNNNCUCCAGAUCUCUCUUAUCUACUCCCAUACUUACCAUGGACAAGCUCUGUCAAAGACC
rnacentral:lncRNA from 13 species